AUGGGCCUUUUUGGUGCAAAUGGAAGGUUCAGCAGUUGUUAAAGACACUAAGUGCAAGAACAGGGUUUUUUCCCUUUUAUGAAACACUCGGUAACAACUGUCUUCCUAGUAAGGCUUUGCUUAUUAUACACAUACACAUAUACACAAAUUCUAUACACUGUUUGGUGUCUGGAGAGUGUGAGUUUCCUGGUGUCGUUUAAGGCAGGAGGAAGUAAUAAAGGCCUUGCCACAUUCCUUACAUCUAUAGGGUCUCUCUCUGGUGUGGAUCCUCUGAUGUCGGUUCAGCUGUGAGGAGAAGCAGUAGGCUUUGCCACACUCUGUGCAUUUGUAUAGCCUGUCUCCAGCAUGGAUCCUCUGGUGUUUAGUCAGGUAUGAGGAGCAGCUAAAGGCUUUGCUGCACUCUUUACACACAUACGGUUUUUCUACAAUAUGGAUGCGCUGGUGCUUAGUAAGGUAUGAAGAACAAUUGAAGGUCUUGCCACACUCUCUGCA
rnacentral:lncRNA from 1 species